rnacentral:rRNA from 1 species
UACGUAGGGCGCAAGCGUUGUCCGGAAUUAUUGGGCGUAAAGAGCUCGUAGGUGGCGUGUCGCGUCUGCCGUGAAAGCCCAUGGCUUAACUGUGGGUCUGCGGUGGAUACGGGCAGGCUGGAGGCUGGUAGGGGCAAGCGGAAUUCCUGGUGUAGCGGUGAAAUGCGCAGAUAUCAGGAGGAACACCGGUGGCGAAGGCGGUUCUCUGGGAAUGUCCUGACGCUGAGGAGCGAAAGUGUGGGGAGCGAACAGG